CCCUCGAUAGCUCAGUUGGAAGAGCAUGAGACUGUAAAUCUCAGGGUCAUCGGUUCGAUCCCGAUUCGAGGGA
rnacentral:tRNA from 1 species